AAAUUCUAGAAAAUAGCAGAGAAGACAGAUAUAUUUUAUCUCUGUCUUCAUUAGAACAUGCUUGAAAAUCAGAUAUUAUUAUCAUUAUGUCUGCUUCUAAAGCUGAGGCACAGGUAGGCUAAGUGCCCUUAACUUCAAUGAAAAUACAGACUUGUAAAAAGCCCUGAGUAGAUUCUCUAAAUCUGCCUGCUGAUUCCAAUGUCCUCAUGAAGCAUCUAAUGGCCUAAGAUAAAAUCUCUUCCUUUUCUGGGAAGGGAAGAGAUUCUCAUUCUUCUUGUAAACACAAGAGAAAAAGAAAUCUGCCAUAGAUGGGGAUAAAGAUGAAUUAGGAUGAACUUUAGUAAAGGUGCAAUGGCAUAUAUGGCUGACAGAUUAGAAUUCUGAGGCUCCUCAAUAAUAGAAUAUGCUUCCCCCACAGGCUUUCCUCAAAUGCUCAGGAACAGUAUGUGUGAUGGUUAAUGUUAGGUGUCAGUUUGACUGGAUUGAAGGAUGCCUAGAUGGCUGGUAAAGUAUUGUAUCUGGGUGUGUCUGUGAGGGUGUGUCUUGAGUCAGUGGACUGGGAGAGGAAGACCCUCCCUCCAUGUAGGUGGGCACCAUCCCAUUGGCUGCCAGCAUGGCUGGAACCAAGCAGGAGGAGGAAGGUGGGAUAGGCUGGCUUGCUGGAUGUUCUGGUUUCCUUCUUUUUCCUGUGCUGGAUGCUUCCUUCUGCUCCUCCUGCCCUUGGACAUCAGACUCCAGGUUCUUCAGCCUUUGAACUCUGGGACUUGCACUAGUGGCUUGGCAACGACUCUCAGACCCUCAUGCACAGACUGAAGGCUGCACUGUUGGCUUUCCUGGUUUUGAGGCUUUAGGACUUGGACUGAGCCACUACCAGCUUCUCUCUUCCCCAGCUUGCAGACGGCCUGUUGUGGGACUUUGCCUUGUGAUCGUGUGAGCCAAUUCUCCCUAUAAAAACAAACAAACAAACAAAAAAAAAAAAAAACAAAAGAAAAAACCAAACCAAAACAAAAAAACACUCCCCCUUUUAUAUGUACAUAUAUCCUGUUAGUUCCAUCCAUCUGGAGAAUCCUGACUAAUACAGUAUACCAGAGCCUGCGGUGGAGACCAGAUAGAGACCUGGAGAUUCCCCUGAAGUCCAAGGCACCUUCUCCCAGACCAAGGCAACACCUACUGAAGGAGGAGAGAAGCAGAGCGUGAGAUCUGUGAUAAAUCAACCCAAGGCACUCACCAUUUUUAGUUCCCAAGAGCCGGGCAUAAACAAGAGACCUGAGGGAAUCCUCCUCUCUUAAAAAACAAAAGCAGUGGACCAACUAUGAAGAGGAAAAUUUCUGCCUUGAACUGUAUCUGAAAGAUGUUAUUUGGGAAAGAAAAGAAAGAGAAGAAUGGGCAAAGAAGUAAUCACAUGGUUGAAGUCUGUGGAUGCAACUGUUAAUGAAGAUGGUUAAACUUGAAAUAAACAAUUUUAAGAAUUAUUUGGUCUGCAGAUAUUUUACUUUAAAUAAAUGUCUAUUGUAAUGGUAAAAAAAACAAAAACAAAAACAAAACAAAACAAAAACAAAACAAAACCAAAAAAACCUCAGGCUUUCAACUGACAAUAGCUACGGGUGGGGCAGAAAAGAUGAAAGAAACUCCUCCAGGGCAUUCCAGACAGAGCAGGAGCUCUAUGUGGAUCCAAAAGCCUGGGCUGGACUGGAGAGCAAAGAAGAUUCUCCAACAAUGUACAAACCAUCAUUUGAGUUUUAAAUCAGAGAGAGAUCUCUCAUGAUUUGAAAAACUGGUGAUUUGGGUGACAUGAAAAACUUUGGGGAAUUUCGCUAGUGCUCAGAAACCCACACACUGCAGAAUGGAAAAUCCUGAGCCCACUUUCAAAACAUUUGAACCUAGUAGUAAACUGAAGCAAGCUUAACUUGCCAAAUAGCUCAGACACAGCUUAACUGCAGAAUACGUCUAUUGAGUGACAUGAAACCAGUGCCUGACAUAAGAAGGGAAAUCGUGUGCACUUUGAGCUCUGCUGUUCUGAUAUCUUACAAUAAAGAAUAGAACAGUUCAUAACUAGACAUACAGAUGGGCCAGAUGUUGAAAUUAUUUGAUGGGGGCUUUAACUAA
rnacentral:lncRNA from 1 species